UAGAAAAACGGGUACCUGGACCGGUUCGUUUGUAAUUGCAAUGGACGGAUGAGAUUGAAGAUUAAGCUACCAUUCAAUCUGAACCGUAAGUUUUACGCUUGGUUCUCUCUCUUGUCUCAAGUCCUCAAUUCUGUCAAUGGAGACUGGACCUCGAACUCAUUCUCUCUCGCCAUCAAGCGUGCGUCGUCCCCUCCCCUCUGUUAAUCCCCGUCAAUCAUCUCCUCCUUUCCGUCACUCUCCGUCAGUCGUCCCCCAAAACCCUCAUCCAACGGUGGUCCAGCACCGGCUCGAGAGGGAGUUCCAACAAAUCUACCCAGAUAAUGCGAACCCAAGGAAGCUGGUUUCGAGGAUAAAGAAGAUUUAAGAAGAAUUGUCGACUUUGGAAGAUCAAUGUUGCGAACUUCUUUCAGCCAAAGAGACAAAUUUUUUAUUUUUUUGAUAAAAUUGGGAAACUUCAAUUUUUAAUUUUGAUUUUUGGGUUUUGGGUUUUGAGUUUUGAAGGAUUUGAUUGAUAAGGCUAGGACGACUCUGGUUGGGAACAGAAACCAAUUGCAUCAACUCCAAUGUAUUGGUGUGGGCAGGGUCCGUUUCGGGAGCGCCCAGUGGUACAAGUUCCGGGUUGGAUUCGGGAAGAUCCACGUCGGCGUCUUGUACUUUGACGACGUUGCUUCCUGUAAGAAGUUCAGGAAACCCAGGCAUCUGGGUUUUCAUUAAUCUGCAGCACUCCCUUGUGCAGGUUUGGCAGUUUAUAAUUCAGGCUGAUAUGAAACUCCAGUAUUUGUAAUGCAAUUUUCUGAACAUACACAUUCAGUUAAAUCUCCUGCUCCCCCUCUCCUUAUUUUCAAGUUUUGUUGCUUGCCAAAAUUGGCCGAAAAGGGGGGAAAUGUCUGAUUGCAUUCUUCUGUGAAUGGCUUUAACUGGAUUUUUUACUUUAACUAGUUUUAGAUUUUCAUGAUUCAUACACCCCUGUUUAUUGCUGGACCAAAAAUGGCUGUGAGGAAUGUAUUUCCCUUUAUUUUAAUCAAGAAGUUAUGCAAUCGUUGACCCCGAAAUUGUAUGCAUAUAGAUGUAGACAAGUGUUGUAUCAAAAUUAAAGUCGUUUGUUUUUAAUGUUGCA